AUUGAACGCUGGCGGCAGGCUUAACACAUGCAAGUCGAGCGGGGUGAUGGUGCUUGCACUAUCACUUAGCGGCGGACGGGUGAGUAAUGCUUAGGAAUCUGCCUAUUAGUGGGGGACAACAUCUCGAAAGGGAUGCUAAUACCGCAUACGUCCUACGGGAGAAAGCAGGGGAUCACUUGCGACCUUGCGCUAAUAGAUGAGCCUAAGUCGGAUUAGCUAGUUGGUGGGGUAAAGGCCUACCAAGGCGACGAUCUGUAGCGGGUCUGAGAGGAUGAUCCGCCACACUGGGACUGAGACGCGGCCCAGACUCCUACGGGAGGCAGCAGUGGGGAAUAUUGGACAAUGGGGGGAACCCUGAUCCAGCCAUGCCGCGUGUGUGAAGAAGGCCUUAUGGUUGUAAAGCACUUUAAGCGAGGAGGAGGCUCUUUUGGUUAAUACCCAAGAUGAGUGGACGUUACUCGCAGAAUAAGCACCGGCUAACUCUGUGCCAGCAGCCGCAGUAA
rnacentral:rRNA from 1 species